ensembl:lncRNA
GUAGGUAUUGUGCCACUGACUAGGAACUCUUCGGGAACAGUGUGUGUAUGAAUAUAGAAUAUCCACACUUUAGAAGGUUCUGUGGUAUAUCAGACUUUCUGUUUACUGAUUGGAAAAACACCUCAGCAUCUUUUCUGUCUGUGAUAUGAGUGAGCUGUCGAUGGAAAAUACCUCUGUGUUGUAGUCUGAACUACAGUCCUGCAACCAACUGCUGGAGCCUCAGAGCAAAUUGCCUUAAUGUGUUUGGACCCCAGGAAGAGUAGGACUGUACCAUCUCCCCAAGUUGGAAGAAGUGUCCUAGAAGACCAACAGUCUCCUUGCCUUUCUCUUUUGAUCAGUUUUAUUGUGGUAAUACAUUGCAAUCUUUUUAAUACUGUUAGAGUUGUUGUCAUUUUCUUUUAACUUAAUAUGCAUCAAUAUCUAAACUCUCUGACAUUCAACCCCUGACUUACUGCCUGAAGCUGACCGGCCUUGAUGUUAGUGGCAACCCUGUCACUCAGAUUGCCAACAUCCAAUCUGAGUUGUCCAAGCUACUGCCCUAAGUCACUGACCUCCUGAUCUGAUUGGGCAAAUGGCAGGGCACAUUCUAAGUUUCCCUUAGACACAGAUCUAGGAUAAGCUUAUCCUACCCCCAAAUCCUUAUUCAUAACUAUUCUAAACGGAGAACUGACAUUAGAUCAGUGUCUAGGGGCAACCCCCCUAUUCCCGACAUACUACCAUCAGCAGAAUAUGUUUGUGUGUGUCUAUGUUUGUGGGCAUGCAUGUAUGUGAGAAGCAGAGGGGUGGUUUUUUAGAGGGGUGGUGUUUUGUGUCUCUUUUCCACCAUUUAUUCCACUUGUGUGGGGACAUGGAUUCACAGUGACCCCCACUAUUGUGUAAGUUAACAAUUUGGGUAAAUAUACAUAUACUGGCACAAUCCACAACUGUUAAAGUUAAGUGAUAAAAUAAAGUGUGUGGUUAAUCUAUGUAGGGUUGAAUUCUAGUGACACGCUGUAUUCAUUCUGAGUCAUUAGGAAAUUCUGGCAACGAUUGCCUAUAAGUUUGCGUUUCAUCUCCAUGGUACGUGAACCUGGGUCCUAAGAGCCAUUCCACUAAAACUAUUAAUUCAUGAUAAAUACUUACCCUCACUGUUGACAUACAGAAAUUAAUUUAAUUGACAUUUCUACAAAAUAAUUUGAGAUGAAUGUUGAGAAAUGUGAAGCAUCAAGUUAUGAGAUAUCUCACUAUCAUGUGAUAAGGGCUAU